rnacentral:rRNA from 1 species
UACGUAGGGACCGAGCGUUGUCCGGAAUCAUUGGGCGUAAAGAGCGUGUAGGCGGCUCGCUAAGUCUUGCGUGAAAUCUCGGGGCUCAACCCCGAGCGGUCGUGAGAAACUGGCGGGCUAGAGUGCGGGAGAGGAGAGUGGAAUCCCUGGUGUAGCGGUGAAAUGCGCAGAUAUCAGGAAGAACACCCGUGGCGAAGGCGGCUCUCUGGAACGCAACUGACGCUGAGACGCGAAAGCGUGGGGAGCAAACAGG